GACAUAGGUCGCAAACGUUAUCCGGAAUUAUUGGGCGUAAAGGAUGCGUAGAUGGUUCAGUAAGUUACUGGUGGGAAAUCGAGGCCCAACCUCGUGGAAGUUAGUAAUACUGUUGAACUUGAGUGCAGGAGAGGUUAACGGAACUUCAUGUGGAGCGGUAAAAUGCGUAGAUAUAUGAAAGAACAUCAAUAUGGCGAAGGCAGUUAACUAUUCUGCUACUGACAUUGAGGCAUGAAAGCGUGGGGAGCAAAACGG
rnacentral:rRNA from 1 species